rnacentral:Y_RNA from 1 species
AGCUGGUCCGAAGGUAGUGAGUUAUCUCACUUGAUUGUUCAGUCAAUUACGGAUUGAAAUACUUGUUCAACUCUUCACCCCUUCUCACUACAGCAUUUGACUUGUCAAAA